rnacentral:misc_RNA from 1 species
GAUGAAGAACGCAGCGAAAUGCGAUACGUAAUGUGAAUUGCAAAUUCAGUGAAUCAUCGAGUCUUUGAACGCACAUUGCGCCCCCUGGUAUUCCGGGGGGCAUGCCUGUCCGAGCGUCAUUGCUGCCCUCAAGCACGGCUUGUGUGUUGGGCCCCGUCCUCCGAUCCCGGGGGACGGGCCCGAAAGGCAGCGGCGGCACCGCGUCCGGUCCUCGAGCGUAUGGGGCUUUGUCACCCGCUCUGUAGGCCCGGCCGGCGCUUGCCGAUCAACCCAAAUUUUUAUCCAGGUUGACCUCGGAUCAGGUAGGGAUACCCGCUGAGUUUAAGCAUAUCAAUAAGCGGAGGA